UGGCUCGUGGCAGAAUGGAUUUAUGCACCGGACUUUUAAUCCGGGCCUGGAGAGGUAAUGUGGGUUCGAGUCCCACCGAGUCAA
rnacentral:tRNA from 1 species